AAAACAUUUGAGAAUUUUAAUAGAAAAUUAAGACAAGGAGCUCCAACAGACAAUUCAUGUAAUUCCUCUUAAUGUCAUUCAUCCUACAGGGUGUGUCACUUGUUAUGGACCAAUGACAGACUAUGCCAUCAUAACAAUUCUUUUCAAAUGUUUUAUUUCUGUAGUGCAAUGACAAAAUCAAGGACAGGUAUAGACAUGUCAUCAUGAAACAUAAGAGAAGUAUCUGCACAAUUAUAACAAUUCUUUAUUGAUUCUAU